UCCCCAUGCUUCCCAGCGCCCCUCCCCGCCCCCGACCUCGAGGCGAAUUGGCUCCGCCGUGCCAAACCCGCCGCCGCCGCCGCUCCCGAGCGCACGCCUUCAGCCCCAGCCAAACCCCCUCGCCGCCGGGCCGGACGGAGGGGGACGCUGCUGGCCAGGCUGAGCUUUGCUGCAACCACGUGUCACUCGCAGCCUGCCUGUCACCCACAACCACAACAACAACAAGAAGAAGAACAAGGAAGCCUGCGGGGGAAAAUCUCCUUCUCCCCUUGGAUCGCCCUGGGGGAAGGCGCCCCUUUCCUGAUCCAGGCUGGUUGCAGCAAUGGAAGAAAAUAGCUUGGGCACCCUGCAACAGAGGGCAGCUGAGCUGGAGUGCAUGGCCGAGGUUCUUCUGACAGGGGAACAGCUAAGACGUGGCCAGUUCAGGUUUUUCUGACAGAAGAUUACAAGUGUGGCCUGUGUGAUCACAGCUCAGACCAAAACAAGUUUCUCCUUACAGGAUUAUCCCUUAAGGUUUUGAUCUGUAUGGAAGAUAGCAAAGGACCUGAAUGUUUGGAAACGAGAAAGAAAAGCUGGGAGGAAAAAGCAAAAAGAACUGAAAACUUCUCCAAGACAAGACAAUCGGCAUGGUACAGGUAGUCCGCAACUUACAACAGUUCAUUUACUGACCGUUCAAAGUAACAACAGCACUGAAUAAAGUGACUUACGGCCGUUUUUCACACUUA